UGUAAAUAUCUUUUAUUAGCAGACUAGGAGACAGAUUUCAAUGAAAGGUUUUCAAGGAAUCUAGCUCUUGGAGCCAAAACAGCCCAAUCUUCUACAUUCACUUUUCUUGGAUCGGCUGAACACGCUGUGGAUGGAAACAGUAAUUCAAAUUUUGCGCUUGGGUCAUGUACUCAUACUAACACGGAGCAUAAUCCAUGGUGGAGAGUGGACUUGGGUAGUGACUACACAAUAUCCUGUGUCACCAUCACUAAUCGUGGGGACUGUUGUGGAGAGUGGAUAUCUGGUGCUCAGAUCCGUAUUGGCAACAGCCUGCAUAUGAACGGCAACAACAAUGAGCUUGCUGCAACAGUUUGGUCUAUCCCAAAUGGAGCCUGUG